UGCUUAACACAUGCAAGUCGAACGGAAAGGCCCUGCUUUUGUGGGGUGCUCGAGUGGCGAACGGGUGAGUAACACGUGAGUAACCUGCCCUUGACUUUGGGAUAACUUCAGGAAACUGGGGCUAAUACCGGAUAGGAGCUCCUGCUGCAUGGUGGGGGUUGGAAAGUUUCGGCGGUUGGGGAUGGACUCGCGGCUUAUCAGCUUGUUGGUGGGGUAGUGGCUUACCAAGGCUUUGACGGGUAGCCGGCCUGAGAGGGUGACCGGCCACAUUGGGACUGAGAUACGGCCCAGACUCCUACGGGAGGCAGCAGUGGGGAAUAUUGCACAAUGGGCGGAAGCCUGAUGCAGCAACGCCGCGUGCGGGAUGACGGCCUUCGGGUUGUAAACCGCUUUCGCCUGUGACGAAGCGUGAGUGACGGUAAUGGGUAAAGAAGCACCGGCUAACUACGUGCCAGCAGCCGCGGUGAUACGUAGGGUGCGAGCGUUGUCCGGAUUUAUUGGGCGUAAAGGGCUCGUAGGUGGUUGAUCGCGUCGGAAGUGUAAUCUUGGGGCUUAACCCUGAGCGUGCUUUCGAUACGGGUUGACUUGAGGAAGGUAGGGGAGAAUGGAAUUCCUGGUGGAGCGGUGGAAUGCGCAGAUAUCAGGAGGAACACCAGUGGCGAAGGCGGUUCUCUGGGCCUUUCCUGACGCUGAGGAGCGAAAGCGUGGGGAGCGAACAGGCUUAGAUACCCUGGUAGUCCACGCUGUAAACGGUGGGUACUAGGUGUGGGGUCCAUUCCACGGGUUCCGUGCCGUAGCUAACGCUUUAAGUACCCCGCCUGGGGAGUACGGCCGCAAGGCUAAAACUCAAAGGAAUUGACGGGGCCCCGCACAAGCGGCGGAGCAUGCGGAUUAAUUCGAUGCAACGCGUAGAACCUUACCUGGGUUUGACAUGGAUCGGGAGUGCUCAGAGAUGGGUGUGCCUCUUUUGGGGUCGGUUCACAGGUGGUGCAUGGCUGUCGUCAGCUCGUGUCGUGAGAUGUUGGGUUAAGUCCCGCAACGAGCGCAACCCUCGUUCACUGUUGCCAGCACGUUAUGGUGGGGACUCAGUGGAGACCGCCGGGGUCAACUCGGAGGAAGGUGGGGAUGACGUCAAGUCAUCAUGCCCCUUAUGUCCAGGGCUUCACGCAUGCUACAAUGGCUGGUACAGAGAGUGGCGAGCCUGUGAGGGUGAGCGAAUCUCGGAAAGCCGGUCUCAGUUCGGAUUGGGGUCUGCAACUCGACCUCAUGAAGUCGGAGUCGCUAGUAAUCGCAGAUCAGCAACGCGGCGGUGAAUACGUUCCCGGGGCUUGUACACACCGCCCGUCAAGUCAUGAAAGUUGGUAACACCCGAAGCCGGUGGCCUAACCGUUGUGGGGGAGCCGUCGAAGGUGGGACUGGUGAUUAGGACUAAAU
rnacentral:rRNA from 1 species